GCACGUAAAGGGUUGUAACUGUGACUAAUUUUUUAUGAAGCUCUCACGCUUGAUGAGCGUUUACGCGCAGAAAUGACAUCGAUACGCGAUACGUAACGUAAUGUGCUAACAACGCUCGCGCGCGUUACCAGUUCUUUUUAGAAUUUGUAACAUUGGAAGCGCCCGUUAUGGAGCAAUCUCGUCGACGCGAUUACGCAAAUCAGUAAUAACAACUCUGCGGCGAAUUACGUAUCGCGCGUAUCGAUUCGGGAUACUUUUUCGUGCUCUAGCGCGGUUCGUAAUAUCGAAAUCUGGCGGCCGGUGGACGCCCAUAAUCGCUCCGCCGCGCCGCGUCUAAAUCGAUCUAAAAAGAAGCCACAGUCUGGGCCCAGGUCCAAGGCGGAGAGAGAGAAAGAGGAAAGUCUUCCCCUAAGGGCGUAUAAUGACACUAAAUUGCCGUUCCUAUCCUAGAAGAGAUCCGAGAUUAGUCGCUGAAAGUAAUGAGACCCGGAUAGACCGACCGCUCUACCUAGGCCGCUUUCAUGCAAAUUGUUCUCGAAUCAAGCACAAGGUCGACGUACGAUUUCCAUGAUACCGUAUUAAGCGAUCCAAAAUAACGUGGGAAAAUGUUGGCGGUCCUUGGGAACAAAUACGAAGACGCGCGAUCAAGAUCAACUCGGUCGAGCGUAAAUGUGCUUUCGGUAAGAGAUAUAAUUUGUAACGGAAGCGUGAUGAAACUCUCGAUGCAAAUUGAGCAAAUUCAAUAACGACGCAAUUUGCGUGUGUAUCCCAUGGCAGAUUUUCACAACGAGCCUUUCAAUUCCUUUGCGGAACUCGUGCCUCCUUUCGCGCACACGCGCGCCGCGAGGAAUUAGAGGGAGGGCGCAAUUUGCGUGAAGGGAGCUAAAAAUUAGAGCGAACGGCAGAAGCCGACUGAAACUUUAGAUAACGAACUUCAUCAAAAGCAGCAGCUCCAUGCAAAUCGCUCGCGGGGGUAGCGCGGAGGAUAGGGAAGGACAAGGCGAGUGUCGGCGGCUACCGAAGGGCCGGAGGCUGUGUAGAGGAGAGGUCCCGAAGCGGAUUUGGACGCGGAGAGGUAAAAGCGAGAGGGUCCGCGGAAGCGGCAGGAAAUUAAGGUCUGGAGGGCCGCGCGGCCAUUAGCAGCCGGCGCCAUGGAGGCGACACGCCCCCACGUGGAUUCAACCUUGCGCCAGCAACACCGGCGAAAGACAACGAACGCGCGCACCCUUCCAGGAUGGAAGCGACGUGAGAGAGGGAGAGAGAGAGAGAGGGAGAUGGGGAGAGAGACGAAAGAGAGCGAGGAGAAAGAGAAACGAGAAACGGAGAAGUCGCGACCGCGCCGCGCUCGAUCUAUCCUUCGAAGAAAGAGAGAUCCGGAGAGUCCUGCUAGGUUGCCCCGAUCAUUCAUCAACGCGUACAACAAAUGUCCUGCUCAUAUUUCUUCGCGGUAACAUGACACACCGUUGUAUAUGGUCAUUACUCAGGAUGCACUCGUGCACGAGGCGCCGUUUCAAGGCUUUCCGGGUGAUUUGUUCCUGUUACCUUUAACGCAAAAGUAACGAGUUAAAUAACUUUGCGUUAAAACUGUAGAUAGGCGAUUGUGAGAGCGAUUUUUGUACGAUCGAGAAAGCCGUGGAAUCGAGGAGUGAAACGUCUACAUCAGUUUCCCGUCUAAACGACGAGAGACAAGUUGGAAAGUAUCAAGAGUUAUUAUUCCGAGAAAUCUCCGGACGCCGUGUGAUUGCUCCCCGUUACGAUGCUGCCGACGAAUGGGAGCGCUCGUUGACGCGGAGGUCGUAAGAGGGUGACGGGCCGGCAGGAUGGGAGAACCGCGGAGGGUUGAAAGGACGAAAUCGUCGUCUCUCCCGCUUUUACGUCGAAAGGGAGGCGGAAGGUUUAGCGCGGCGGAGAUCGCAACGGGGUUGAGUGUCUCUCCGCCGGUGUACGAGCCACGCCCUCUUCAAGCUCGAUGAGUGCAGGUUGUAGGCAGGCCACGUAUCGAUCCGCCGGGACAAUAUGACAGUGGCCUGCGGAGACAACGACGUCCCUCGAUCAGCUCCCUCCAUCACUGAACCCUACGCGCGGAUACACGCCCUCCGUGACGCGGGUCGCGCGGCUUAACCGUCGCGAUCGCGAUUCGGCAGUUUAUUGUCGUCCUUUUGUCUUUUUCGGAGCGCUCUCACCGUGGCAAGGUGUCAACUAAGCUUCUAAAACCACGUCUCGAGUCCAAAUUAAGAGGGAACUGUAAUCGGCCGAGCGGACAAUCGACCGUCGACGGAAGUGCGACGACGAUCGUGCGUAGGUGAAAAGCUCGAGGAGAACCCCUCGUUCGCACAUCAGGCGAGACGCACGUCGACGAUCGGUACCUACCAGGUCUAUACUAUAUGCGUGCACGCUAACGAAGACAUCGGGAGCUCGUAAUAAUGGUAAAUCCGUACAGUUCCCCUCUUUAAGUGUACCGCAGCGAAACUUUCCCUUUCUAAAAAUAUAUUAUUUACUGUUGUAUAAAUUUUUGUUAUUCCAGUUGCGAACGGUCUUUCAGGAAGCGGCUUAGAAACUUGUUUCCGCUAUCAAGCCAUCGUUAUCGAAUUAGCCGAGCAGAGACAAUUAGACGAGGACGAAGUCGCGGGAAAAAAAAGAGAGGCUUCGUGCUCCAUAAAGGAGCGCCGCGCAAAAUUAGCCGGCGUUCUUUUCUGCUUUCGGUGUAAAAAGUGUCGGUCGUUCUCAAGAGCCAUUGACCGCGAUCUUCAAGCACCUGCCGAGCCGGCAUGGUCGAGUUUCUGAUUGGAUCCACCUGCAUUGAGUAGCCCCCAACCAGCGGUAUUGACUAACUGCGCCACUUCCACCAAGUCGCACUUUGCGUACUCCAACUUCUAGUUUUCUAUAUUUAACUGAAUCAUGAAUUCCUUAUACAGUGUUUUAAAUUUUAUUAUAACACAUAUGAUUCUAUCUUAUUUCAUUGUAAAGACAAAUACUAAUAUUCGCUCUACUUGGAAAUAAUAUUUUUUCUAGUCGGUAUAAAUAUAUUUAAAAGUUUUAUAUUUUAAAGUAUACUGUUGUGCGAUUCUGAUAUUUAUGCGAGAUAUUUAAAGAAAAAUUCUGAAUUAAAUCUAUAAAUGCAAUCCA